AACAAAAUACAAUUGGAUACUGUAGUUGUAAUCGCAGUUUUAAGAUUAGAAUUUAGAUAUACUUUGUGCUAGAGGCUCAUAAAACUAUCAUAUCUACAUACUACUCAAGCACUUAUGACCUUUAACUGGGCAAAAUGAUGUAUCACAGGGCAAUAUUUUUUAAAAAAUUAAAGUAUCUCAAAUGGACUAAGUAAUAGAAUAUAUCCAUAGUCUUGGAAGUUGAAGUUAUGACUCUCAAGGGAAUGAAAUUCAGGAAAGUCAUCACUGCUUCAGUGUUAUUGGCUGCUGCUGUGGUCAUGGAACUCUUUAUUUUCAAUAUUCUGUGACAGUUACCCAUCCAGUAUCACAAUAAUUCACUCCCUUUCUCACCAGACAUCAGCCACUUACCUACCUGCUGGGAAGGGAAGAGAGGAAGAUUUCCAAUGCCAAUGUCAGAUUCCCUCAAGGAAACUGAGCAUGAAGCUGGCAAGAAGUUGAAUGUUGUUCCUUCUCCCACUGUUUUUUUACCCAGUGUUGAUUCACUGUUGAUCAUUCUGUUUUUCUGUUUAGAGUAAGGAAGGUAUUUAGGAAUGAUUCACACCCUGGUUAGUGUCUUUUUUCACUUUUACCAUCGGGCAGAAGACACCGAAGUAUAGCCAGCCGGACAAACAGGUUUGAAAACAGCUUCUACCCAUGGGCUGUCAGACUCCUAAACACAAUCACUCCACAUAUUGACAGAAUGUAAAGAUUAAUGGUCAGUACCUUCAUGCCUUAGAAGUGGGCAUCUAGCCGUGUAAAGCACAGUCUGCAAUUGUGGCUAUGGAUCAAAAUCUGAAAGAUAGCAGGUACGGCAUGGUGAUCCAGGCCCUGCCUUUUUUGUUU